rnacentral:rRNA from 1 species
AUUGAACGCUGGCGGCAUGCUUUACACAUGCAAGUCGAACGGCAGCGCGGGGCAACCUGGCGGCGAGUGGCGAACGGGUGAGUAAUAUAUCGGAACGUACCCAGAAGUGGGGGAUAACGUAGCGAAAGUUACGCUAAUACCGCAUACGAUCUACGGAUGAAAGUGGGGGACCUUCGGGCCUCAUGCUUUUGGAGCGGCCGAUAUCUGAUUAGCUAGUUGGUGAGGUAAAGGCUCACCAAGGCGACGAUCAGUAGCUGGUCUGAGAGGACGACCAGCCACACUGGGACUGAGACACGGCCCAGACUCCUACGGGAGGCAGCAGUGGGGAAUUUUGGACAACUGGGGGGCAACCCUGAUCCAGCAAUGCCGCGUGAGUGAAGAAGGCCUCGG